ensembl:lncRNA
GGAUGUCCUUUGGUUUACUCGUGGGCUUGUCUAUUCAUUCAUUCAUUUCUUCAACAAAUAUGACGUCUGCCACCGCCCAGGCACCGGGACCCAAAUAUUAGCAGGAAAUGAGGGCUCCUGAAAGGAUGUUUUAAAAUCAACUAGAGGCUAAUUGGCCAGGCGUUCCUGGGUGGGGGCAGGAAGUCUGAAGGUUACGGGGUGGGUACAGCAACAGACUCUUCCCGAAGAGCACAAGGGGUCAGGAAGGAGCCGCAGAGUCUCGGAGCAGGGAGAUGCCGUGUGACUCAGGCCGGGUCUGCAGGCACACCUGGCUGAGCAGGGAGCCGCUCUGAGCACAACGGCCCAGAAGGGCCCCCGAGUCCAGCCCGGCGGCCCAAGUGGGCGGGACUGGGUCUCACGGGUCUCACGGGGGUCGACUCCUGCGGGGGCUUCAGGUGACUCGGUGCUAAAGGAUCGGCCUGCAACACGGGAGGUGCGGGUUUGAACCCUGGAUCAGGAAGAUCUCCCGGAGAAGGAAAUGACAACCCACUCCAGUAUUCUUGCCUGGGAAACCCCACGGACAGAGGAGCCUGGUGUCCAUGUGGUCACAAGAGCUGGACACGACUGAGCGACUAAACAAUGGCAACAACGGCAGUUCAGGUGGACGAGCUCUGAAACCCUGCUGCCAGGGAUCGUGGAGGACCCCGAGGACAGUCACUGCCGAGUGCUAUUCACCGGGCGGCUUCAAACAGCAGACGUGGAUUCGUCUCCGGUUUCGGAGGCCGGACGUCCCGCGUCAAGCGGUGCCCCAAAUAAUGGUGAGUCAUGGAGCUGACAGCUGCCCGAGAUCCAGAAAAACUGUUACUCAUGCUUGCUGAGCGUCUAUCACACAUCGGCCAUGGGUCUUCAUGUUCUAACCGCUGGACUCCUCCUAGCAAGCCUGCAUCCCACAUUCGGUUACUGUCCCGGCCCUGUAGACAGUCCCAGGCAGGGAGGGGAGAAGGAAAUUCCUGUCUUCACAGGUCCCCAAGCUGGGACAUGUCAGGGCCAAGAUUUGAACCUAAGCCAUCAGGUACCAGACUGUAAGUAGUGGUUUUAUUCAAAGCCACUUCACAAAGGUUUUUCUCAGGACUUUUUUGCAUCCAUGGCCUCACCCGUCAUGUUGCAAUGUUGCCUAGGCUCGAUAGUGAAGUGAGAAAAAAAUGCAGGUGCAACUCGGAUGCAGCGAGAUAUUCUGCAAGUGUGUAGCUGGAUUGUAAGUCUGUGCUCAGAAAACUUUGUGAGAUCCAAGUCAGAUGUUGAGAUGGUACGGCAUGCCUUGGGCUGUUCCUAAGGUGAGACAGAAGCCCCGUGGAGCUGGCAGGGAGCUGCCCUAGAAGCCGGGCUUGCCCGGAUUGCAGGAGGAAGGUUCAGAUUCCUGCGUGCAGGAAGCGUGAGGUCUCAGGGGCCUCGGGGAGCCUCACCCCAUGUGACGUAGCUGCCUCGGAUGUCACGGUGCCCUUGGUGACCAUGUUUGCAGGCUCCGGGGGGACGAGCCGGGAGACCCAGGGCCGCAUGGUGGCUAAGCGCCUGGACUCAGGCAGCCUGGAUCCAAACCCCAAGUCUGUCGUCUGUUCCCGCACACUUCUGAGAGGAUGUUGGGCCUCUCUCUGUGCCUGGGUCUCUGGGCCUGUACAGUGGGAGUGACCAUGAUGUCUUCCUCAAGGUCGCGGUGAGAAUUCAGUGGUAAAUACACCCACCGUCCUUGACUGGUCCUGGUCCAGCAAGAUCUGCACGGCCAUGCCCAUCACCGCCCAGCCUGAACUGUGGCUCCUGCUGCCUCUCACAACAUCUGCACGGCCAUGAUCACCACCGCCCAGCCUGAACUGUGGCUCCUGC